UCGAGAAUCUUCGGCAAUGGGCGCAAGCCUGACCGAGCGACGCCGCGUGCGGGAUGAAGGCCUUCGGGUUGUAAACCGCUGUCAGAGGGGAUGAAAUCACAGUGGGUUCUCCCAUUGUGUUGACAGAGCCUCAGAGGAAGCGCGGGCUAAGUUCGUGCCAGCAGCCGCGGUAAUACGAACUGCGCGAACGUUAUUCGGAAUCACUGGGCUUACAGGGUGCGUAGGCGGCGAAGAAAGUAGGGUGUGAAAU
rnacentral:rRNA from 1 species